UAGGGAAUAUUAGUAAUGGGCGAAAGCCUGAACUAGCAACGCCGCGUGUGCGAAGGAGGCCUUCGGGUUGUAAAGCACUUUUUGAGAGGAUGAGGAAGGACGGUAUUCCCAGAAUAAGUCUCGGCUAACUACGUGCCAGCAGCCGCGGUAACACGUAGGAGGCAAACGUUAUCCGGAUUUACUGGGCGUAAAGCGCGUGUAGGUGGUUUGGUAAGUAGGGCGUGAAAGCUCCUGGCUCAACUGGGAGAGGACGUUCUAAACUGCCAAGCUUGAGGAUGGUAGAGGGAGGUGGAAUUCCGGGUGUAGCGGUGGAAUGCGCAGAUAUCCGGAGGAACACCAGUGGCGAAGGCGGCCUCCUGGACCACUCCUGACACUCAGACGCGAAAGCUAGGGUAGCAAACGG
rnacentral:rRNA from 1 species